AGUGAACGCUGGCGGUAGGCCUAACACAUGCAAGUCGAACGGCAGCACAGGAGAGCUUGCUCUCUGGGUGGCGAGUGGCGGACGGGUGAGGAAUACAUCGGAAUCUACUUUUUCGUGGGGGAUAACGUAGGGAAACUUACGCUAAUACCGCAUACGACCUACGGGUGAAAGCAGGGGACUUCGGACCUUGCGCGAUUGAAUGAGCCGAUGUCGGAUUAGCUAGUUGGCGGGGUAAAGGCCCACCAAGGCGACGAUCCGUAGCUGGUCUGAGAGGAUGAUCAGCCACACUGGAACUGAGACACGGGCCAGACUCCUACGGGAGGCAGCAGUGGGGAAUAUUGGACAAUGGGCGCAAGCCUGAUCCAGCCAUACCGCGUGGGUGAAGAAGGCCUUCGGGUUGUAAAGCCCUUUUGUUGGGAAAGAAAUCCAGCUGGUUAAUACCCGGUUGGGAUGACGGUACCCAAAGAAUAAGCACCGGCUAACUUCGUGCCAGCAGCCGCCGUAA
rnacentral:rRNA from 1 species